rnacentral:rRNA from 1 species
UACGUAGGGUGCAAGCGUUGUCCGGAAUUAUUGGGCGUAAAGAGCUCGUAGGCGGUUUGUCGCGUCUGCUGUGAAAAUCCAGGGCUUAACCCUGGACCUGCAGUGGGUACGGGCAGACUAGAGUGCGGUAGGGGGAGAUCGGAAUUCCUGGUGUAGCGGUGAAAUGCGCAGAUAUCAGGAGGAACACCGGGUGGCGAAGGCGGAUCUCUGGGCCAGUUACUGACGCUGGAGGAGCGAAAGCGUGGGGAGCGAACAGG